rnacentral:rRNA from 1 species
UACGUAGGGCGCAAGCGUUGUCCGGAUUCACUGGGUGUAAAGGGUGCGCAGGCGGAUUGGUAAGUCAGCGGUGAAAUCUCACAGCUCAACUGUGAAACUGCCGUUGAUACUGCUGAUCUUGAGUACGGGAGAGGUUGAUGGAAUUCCAGGUGUAGCGGUGAAAUGCGUAGAUAUCUGGAAGAACACCGGUGGCGAAGGCGGUCAACUGGCCCGGAACUGACGCUCAGGCACGAAAGCGUGGGGAGCAAACAGG